rnacentral:lncRNA from 1 species
GGCAACCCGCUUGAGUCAGCUUCUGCAUUGUGGAAGGUUUGUUCUUUCUCUCUUUGCAGUAAAUCUUACUGCUGCUCACUUUUUGGGUCCACACUGCGUUUAUUAGCUGCAACGCUCACCGCUAUGGUCUGCAGCUUCACUCCUGAAGCCAGCGAGACCACGAACCCACCAGAAUGAAGAAACUCCGAACACAUCCAAACAUCAGAAGGAACAAACUCCGGACAGGCGGCCUUUAAGAACUGUAACACUCACCUCGAGGGUCUGCGGCUUCAUUCUUGAAGUCAGUGAGACCAAGAACCCACCAAUUCCGGACACAAUGUUACUCCAGAUAAUCAGCGCCAUUUUCUGAAGCUUGAGAUGCAGGAAAAGAGGAGUGCUAUCCAUUAGAUGGAGACAGGAAGUAGAAAAAGUGAUUUCCAUCAGCUCCCAGAUUGGCAGGAGGUCCUGAGAGAUCUACUUCCAUCAGCCUCUAAGUCUAUGAGCUUAAAGUUUUGGCUUGUGUUACUUCCUUGGGGAGAUCUUGCUGGACCACAUCAGGAAUAGGAGGGGUGUGUCCCCACAGCACUGUGUACACGAUGGAGAAACCAAGUCUUUGAAAUCUUGAGAAACUUGCUCACAGUAUAUAUAGAUGUUAAGUGGCACGUUUGGUGAAUGAAUCCACGAUGAUGUUCCAAGCUUAUGCUCAAUAUUUGAAUGAUACAGGGGACAAGUGAAGAGGAGGGAGGCAGGUCAUAUACCCUAGGCCGUAAAGGAGGGGAGUGGAAUCAAGGAAGAUGCAGCAGAAAAGAAGACUUUGAAAGCACUUAAAAGAAGACUUUGAAGGAUCUUAGGGAGCUUGGAUGGUGGAACCAUGAGAAGAGCACAGAGAAGUUGGUGAGGAUAAUUCCCCCCCUUCUCCAUAUUCUAGAGCUGACAACUCCAGCUUGUGUCAGGGUAAUCAAAAGAAGAGACAAUUUAUUGCAGCUCCUACCAUGUGCCAAGCAGGCACCUACCUAAUACCCUAGGGGCAUUAACUCUUUUAACCCUUGCAACAGCCCUGUGAGGUAGCUACAGUUACAAGCCCCAGUUUAGAGGAAGAAACUGAGGAACAUAAAAGCAGCGGUCAUUGAGAAAUCCUGACAUAAAGAAGGUAUCUGGGAGAUAAAGUUCUGCAAGCGAUGAUUACUAGCACUUAAGUUCUCUUUUUGUUGAAAGGAAGAAUCCCAGAUUGAACAGUGCAUUGAAUGAUAUGACAAGCAAGUACUUGAUCCCUGUCCAGCUGGAGGGGGGAUUGUACCCAUCAGCAGCUUUUUAGCUAAGGACGUCUUUAUAUUUCCCUUCUUUGUCUGGGCCUCUCUAGUUCCUCCUUUUACUUCAUGUCAGCACUAUAUAGUAGGUAUGCCAAGUGGUUUUGAAAUUUAAAUUACAGUCUCUUUUUCAGAUGUUAUUGGAAAGAACAUGUAAUUUAUAACCACGUGUUAGGAGUACAGGAUGUUCAUGGUCCACUGCCAAUUUUUCUUUUGUAAAGUUAAUAAAACUUUCAUAAAACACUUA